CCUACGGGUGGCAGCAGUGGGGAAUAUUGGACAAUGGGGGGAACCCUGAUCCAGCCAUGCCGCGUGUGUGAAGAAGGCCCUCGGGUUGUAAAGCACUUUCAGUGAGGAAGAACGCCUGGUGGUUAAUACCCAUCAGGAAAGACAUCACUCACAGAAGAAGCACCGGCUAACUCCGUGCCAGCAGCCGCGGUAAUACGGAGGGUGCGAGCGUUAAUCGGAAUUACUGGGCGUAAAGCGCGCGUAGGUGGCUUGAUAAGCCGGUUGUGAAAGCCCCGGGCUCAACCUGGGAACGGCAUCCGGAACUGUCAAGCUAGAGUGCAGGAGAGGAGGGUAGAAUUCCCGGUGUAGCGGUGAAAUGCGUAGAGAUCGGGAGGAAUACCAGUGGCGAAGGCGGCCUUCUGGACUGACACUGACGCUGAGGUGCGAAAGCGUGGGUAGCAAACAGGAUUAGAUACCCUGGUAGUC
rnacentral:rRNA from 1 species